GCCCUUCGCAACCCCUGCUUUCAGUUGCUACCGNGUCNCGCCGAGCACUCUGAAGGGACUGCCCAGUGAUAACGAGGAGGAAGGUGGGGAUGACGUCAAGUCAUCAUGGCCUUUAUGCCUGGGGCCACACACGUGCUACAAUGGCCGGNACAAAGCGCUGCNAACCUGCGAGGGGGAGCCAAUCNCAAAAAGCCGUCUCAGUUCAGAUUGCACUCUGCAACUCGGGUGCAUGAAGGUGGAAUCGCUAGUAAUCGCGGAUCAGCACGCCGCGGUGAAUACGUUCCCGGGCCUUGUACACACCGCCCGUCACACCAUGGGAGUUGGUUCUACCUUAAGCAGGUGUGGUAACCGCAAGGGGCUAGCUUGCCACGGUAGGGUCAGUGACUGGGGUGAAGUCGUAACAAGGUAAAGGGC
rnacentral:rRNA from 1 species